rnacentral:rRNA from 1 species
GACGAACGCUGGCGGCGUGCUUAACACAUACAAGUCGAACGGAAAGGCCCUGCUUUUGUGGGGUGCUCGAGUGGCGAACGGGUGAGUAACACGUGAGUAACCUGCCCUUGACUUUGGGAUAACUUCAGGAAACUGGGGCUAAUACCGGAUAGGAGCUCCUGUUGCAUGGUGGGGGUUGGAAAGUUUCGGCGGUUGGGGAUGGACUCGCGGCUUAUCAGCUUGUUGGUGGGGUAGUGGCUUACCAAGGCUUUGACGGGUAGCCGGCCUGAGAGGGUGACCGGCCACAUUGGGACUGAGAUACGGCCCAGACUCCUACGGGAGGCAGCAGUGGGGAAUAUUGCACAAUGGGCGGAAGCCUGAUGCAGCAACGCCGCGUGCGGGAUGACGGCCUUCGGGUUGUAAACCGCUUUCGCCUGUGACGAAGCGUGAGUGACGGUAAUGGGUAAAGAAGCACCGGCUAACUACGUG